CCUACGGGAGGCAGCAGUGGGGAAUAUUGGACAAUGGGCGCAAGCCUGAUCCAGCACAUGCCGCGUGAGUGAUGAAAGGGCCUUCGGGUUUGUAAAGCUCUUUUAGCCNGGGANGAUAAUGACAGUACCGGGAGAAUAAGCCCCGGCUAACUCCGUGCCAGCAGCCGCGGU
rnacentral:rRNA from 1 species